UCAGUAUCGUAUCAUCCCUGCCAAAACAAUUGCAGGCAGCACAAAGAGGGAACGAUAUUUUGCUGGUUUUGGUAAUUUGAAUUAGGGGACGAGCAUCUAUUCUAAAAGCUUAAAAGGAAAGGUAGAAGAUCAGAGAUGGCAACUGUAGGCAGAAACAUAGCUGGUCCACUCCUGUUUCUCAACUUGAUCAUGUAUGCUAUUGCUUUAGGUUUUGCGAGUUGGUGUCUUAAUAGGUAUAUCAACGGCCAAACUAAUCACCCAAGUUUUGGACCGAAUGGAGCAACGCCUUUCUUUCUCACCUUUGCUAUAUUAGCUUCUGUUGUUGGAAUAGCAUCGAAGUUUGCAGGAGGUAACCACAUUAGAGCAUGGAGGAACGACAGUUUAGCUGCUGCUGGCUCAUCUUCGUUGAUGGCUUGGGCCAUCACUGCUUUGGCUUUUGGGCUGGCAUGCAAAGAAAUCAACAUAGGACACAGAGGUUGGAGACUGAGAAUGGUAGAGGCAUUCAUGAUAAUCUUGGCAUUUACUCAACUCUUGUAUGUCCUGUUGCUGCAUGCUGGAGUGUUUAGCAGCAGGUAUGGCCCUGGCUACAGGGAUACCGACUAUGGCGUAGGAGCUGGUGGGGAACCAAUGCCGAAGGGUGGUGUUCCAGUGACUGGGACUAGAGUCUGAGCUAUCUCAUCUGUCCUAAUGUAGAAUCAACCCCAAACAUUUCAUCCCUGUGGCUGAAAGGAGUGUUUUUUAGGUCAUUUUGGACAUGGAUCUUUAUCAAGUUUAAUUUAGUCCACUUUGUGGGUGUAUGUAGCGCUAUCAUUGAUGGAAGUAUCAUUCAAAUGAUUCACAGAUGACUUCUAGAGGAGAAUACUAAUAUGGGAACAAGGAACGCAAGUACUACAAAAGAAUGCAAUACGAAGUUGUGGAAACUUGAUCAACUUCGGGGGUUGUCUCUUGGUUAGAUCAGGGUAUACGUUGGUUGAAGCUGAAGUUGACAGCUAAUUUGAAUGAAUACUUUUCUCUGGUUUUCAGUAUUCGUUCUCUUCUUCAGUGAAGUUGGCAAGUUCGGUUCAGGCAUGUCUACUGGGAAGCUAAUUUCGCUUGCAAUUUCUUACCUUUGGCCUAUAACAGGCUGGACUCUCCUCCUGUUGGGGAUGAGUUCUUACAUCUGUUAGAUAUCACGGGGUGUUCCCCACCUCUCGCAGUGUCUUAAGCUACCCAGCCUCAGAAAACACUAUUAUGGAUCACAAAAUGAGAAGAGAAGCAAAUCGAAGAAGAGGGUUAAUUAGUAAAGCAUGAACUUUCUUUUCUGCUAUCAAUAUCAGGAUUGACUCAAUUCCGUUUGCAUGUAUAAGAAAUUACAGAUACAAAUUUAAUAACAGUUGCACCUUCAUUUGAAGGUUCAUUAA